AUGAUUAGUGUCAAGAGCAAGAACCAAAAAACAUGUCUUGUUUUUCUUCUUCUCCUUCUUUUGAUCCUUCUCUUACUACUAAGCAAUGCUCCAUGUGAUGCAAGUGGUAGCAACAAAGCAAGAUUUGACAGAUUCAAAGAUGAACCAUUCAAGUCAAAAUAUAAAUUCCAUGGUGACUUAAACUUUCAAGGGAAGAACAAAAAUGAAGAUCAAGUUUUUGGUGAUGACAAGAGAAAAGUUUACACCGGUCCUAAUCCUCUACAUAACAGAUAA